rnacentral:rRNA from 1 species
CACCGCGGUUAUACGAGAGGCCCGAGUUGAUAGGCACCGGCGUAAAGCGUGGUUAAAAUUAAACGGAGACACUAAAGCCGAACACCCUCAAAGCUGUCAUACGCACUCGAGGACAGGAAGUUCAACUACGAAAGUGGCUUUAUAACCCUUGAACCCACGAAAGCUAUGACA